ensembl:lncRNA
GGUAGAAGUAACAGUCAGUGGAUAUUCCCCCUUCCUUUUUUUCCUUUUUUUUAUAUUGUAUCUUUUCACAGCUCCUGUGAAAGUUUGGAUAUGUGUAAAACCAUCCAUACCUACUGGGUUAAUGCUAGUUGAAUCAAUGUUGUUUCCAUGUAAUUUCAAUGAAAUGACAUUGAACCAACGUGGAAUAGACAUUGACUUGACGUCUGUGUCCAGUGGGUAGUCUACGUUGUCUAAGGCCUAAUAUUAUAUGUCCACGGGGAGAAAUUAGGGCACUUCAACGUCUAGAUCUUCCAACGAGCGGAGGAUCCUCUACCAUGAGUCGCCCAGCGAGCCAGCACCCCAGCCCAUUCAACAGUCUGCCCAGGUCAGCGAUGCCCGUUUGUCGGGACUCCAUCCAAAUCCUGUGGUUUCCUCCUCUAGUGCACCCUCUAUUUUGCUCAUCAGAUGGGAGCCCCCACCACCGAGAGGUCCAAGGUUGUCAUGGUUAUUUCCCUGCUAAUCGGUCAGGCAUUGUAGUGGGCUAUGGCCAUCUGGGAGAGGAGCUGGGUUCCUAUGAGAGGUUCAUGGAUCUGUUCAGGGGAGUCUUUGAUCAUCCACCGGAGGGCAGAGAGGGGGGGUGAGUGCCUACUCCAACUAUGGCAGGAGGGCCAGGGUACUGCGGAGUACGUCCUCACCUUCCGUACAGUGGCAGCAUCCAGCGACUGGAAUGAGCCGGGCUCCACACCUUAUACAGAAGAGGAUUGUGCGAAGAGGUCCAGACAGCGUUAGCAUGCCCGAGAUGACACCCUCUCAUUGGACACAUUCAUUGCGAUGGCCAUCCGUCUGGAUAACCUCCUUUGGAAGAGUCGGCACCCCCAUCGCCUUUCUCCCUCCUUUGUUGACCGUUCUGAGUCAGAGCCUGAACCCAUGGCGGUAGGGGACAUGCCUUUCCACGGUUGAGCGACGACGUCCCUGUAGUGGUCAAGAGGGGCACCAGCUUCAACGGUGUCCGCUACAUCCCAACCCGGGAGCCACUAGAGCAAAGGGACGGCCCCAUGAUCAUCAGUCUCCCGGGGUCACUGAGACACUGUUCCAGCAGGUCUUCUGGCACUAUGGUCUUCCAGAGGACAUCAUCUCCGACCGUGGUCCCCAAUUCACGUCGCAGGAAUGGAGAGCCUUCAUGGAGAAGCUGGGAGUCACGGUCAGUCUCACAUCCAGGCUGGGGGUUCCUGGUCCCCUGGCUGAUGCCGUCCCCAACUACACCCCUCCGCCUCCCCUGGACAUCGAGGGAAACCCCACAUAUGCCGUCAGAUCCCUCCUGGACUCCCAACAUCGUGGGGGUCAGCUCCAGUACCUGGUGGACUGGGAGGGGUAUGGUCCAGAGGAGCGGUGUUGAGUUCCAGUGGAUGACAUUCUAGAUCCUAACAUCAUCCGUGAUUUCCACCGCUGAUGUCCGGACCAGCCCACUCCUCGCCCUCGGUGCCGUCAUCCUGGCCGGCGUCAUCCUGCGGCUGGAGCUGCACAUUGGGGGGGUGGGUACUGUCACAUCUACUCCCGCUUACCCUUUUCUGCACUCAACGUCACCGGUCUACUAACCACCGGUCCUGGCAACCUAUCAUUACGCACACCUGGCAACCUUCAUUACGCACACAUGCAUCUCAUCAUUAGGCACAACUGGAGUUCAUCACUUCCCUGAUUACUCCCCCUUAAUCUAGCACUUCGUUGUUAUCACCCAUCAUACAGCAUUGUUUCUGUGUUCAUGUUCAGAUGCUACUCUUGUUUGUUUAUUUACUCUGUUCGUUCUUAUUAAACUCACCGACUGCACCUGCU